rfam:Meiothermus ruber DSM 1279 genome.
GAGAGGUGAUGACCUCCAGUCCCCCACACGGGCGCCAUGGGGAUGGAGGUAGCCAGUGGCGCGACCGGCUC